AGAAAUUCAAAUCUCUUUACGCUUGUAAAACGAUGAUUCCCCAACUUUGCCUGUAGACCUUGGAAAAUGGUAAUGGGAGGAAGUGAUCUCCUGAUCUCCAGCUGUGGUUCUGUGUGCUGCUCUGAUCCCACCGAUGACUGGAUUUGAGAGUAAAGCACGGUUGGUUCUGCCUCUGCCCUGUGUCGGAUUUCACCCUUCUGCCCUUGCUCUGAAGAUUGAAAUAUCUGAGGACCCUUCUGCUCUCAGGUAA
rnacentral:lncRNA from 1 species